rnacentral:ncRNA from 1 species
AAGCGUUGUUGCCACCAGUAAUCUUGCUCAGUACGAGAGCAACCGCAGAUUCAGACAUUUGGUUCAUGUGCUCGGCUGAUAAGCCAAUGGUGCGAAGCUACCAUCUGAGGGAUUAUGACUGAACGCCUCUAAGUCAGAAUCCCGCCUGGAAAGCGACGAUGCAUUCGUGCCUCGGCCUCGAGAGGCGUAGCUAGACGGCCGCGUGGCCGUGGAAAGAGCCCGAUUCCGACCCGAGAGGCCGCGGCAAGAGGCGGCCUCGAAGUCGGUGGAUCCUCCUGCUCGAAAGGCGGGGUGCUAAACCAUUCGCAGACGACCUAGUUGAAGAUCGGGGUGUCGUGAUCACUAGAGCAGUACAUCUCACUGCGAUUUGUUGAGAGUAAGCCUCAAGAUCUGUCGGUUUGU